rnacentral:rRNA from 1 species
UGGGGAAUAUUGCACAAUGGGCGAAAGCCUGAUGCAGCAACGCCGCGUGAGUGAUGAAGGCCUUCGGGUUGUAAAGCUCUGUCUUUUGGGACGAUAAUGACGGUACCAAAGGAGGAAGCCACGGCUAACUACGUGCCAGCAGCCGCGGUAAUACGUGGUGGUGCAAGCGUUGUCCGGAUUUACUGGGCGUAAAGGAUGCGUAGGCGGAUUUUUAAGUGAGAUGUGAAAUACCCGGGCUUAACUUGGGUGCUGCAUUUCAAACUGGGAAUCUAGAGUGCGGGAGAGGAGAAUGGAAUUCCUAGUGUAGCGGUGAAAUGCGUAGAGAUUAGGAAGAACACCAGUGGCGAAGGCGAUUCUCUGGACCGUAACUGGCGCUGAGGCAUGAAAGCGUGGGUAGCAAACAGGAUUAGAUACCCUGGUAGUCCACGCCGUAAACGAUGAGUACUAGGUGUAGGAGGUAUCGACCCCUUCUGUGCCGCAGUUAACACAAUAAGUACUCCGCCUGGGAAGUACGAUCGCAAGAUU